rnacentral:misc_RNA from 1 species
AGCGAGUGACUUUUUUAUUUUCAGACUUGAGUUACAAUAUAUUCAAAAUAUAAGAUGUAUAAUAGAUUUAAUUAUUAAACAUACGAAUCUCAUACAUUUAUAUCUUUAGUGCAAUGAUAGACCGAAUUUCUACAAUAAUUUCCCAUAUGUAUGAUUCGCAUUUAUUACGCAUGCAUGCAAGGCUUGUAUUUUUAGUUUCACUAAAUGCAUUUGAGUUCUGCUGCAAAUUUCUCAACAUUCUUGUCAGAACUUCCACCUUCAGAUACUGCUUCUUGGGCAAGUGUUUUCCAUUUUUCUGAAUUCCUUCUGAACUCAUUGGCGUUUUCUCCUUCCAUGACUUCCCUUAUGCACAUCUCUGUUUCUUCUUUCGUGACAAUUCCUUCUUCAUUUACCUUAACUCUAACCCCAACCGUCCAUACAUCAGCAAUAUAUUUUGCAUUAGUUACUUGAUCAGCCCACUGCGGCAUUGCCACCAUUGGUACACCCAAGCUCAAUGCCUCAAGUGUAGAGUUCCACCCGCAGUGAGUCAUGAAAGACCCUACGGAAUUGUGAGCAAGAACUUCUGUCUGUGGACACCAAGUAACAAUUAGACCCUUCUCUGACGUCUCAUUCACAAACGUGUCUGGAAGUUUUUUCUGUUCAGAUUCUCUGACUACCCACAAGAAAUGGUAGUUGCUCUUUUCCAGUCCGCAUGCUAGUUCUUCCAUCUGCUUUUCUUCCAAGGAAGCAAUGCUUCCAAAGGCUACAUAAACUACUGAGCAAGCUUCCUUGGAAUCUAGCCACUGCUUCAAACUGUUGUUAUUGGAUUUGAAGAGGCUAAGGCCAUAAUCGUUGUCGUCCUCCAAUCUCUUGCUUGUGUACGUUGAUGGUAUUAGUGGUCCUAUUAGCUUGACAGGGCAUUGGCUUGCCAUCCAGUUCAUUACCUCUGCUUCUAACUUGUUGAAAGUGUUAACAAGGAUCCAAUCAACUUCCCUGAUAUUCGAAAACUGACUAGUCAUUAGGCUUAUCAGGGCUGGGCUGUACUCCGAGCCGCAAGCUGGAGAAGGCAGGUCAUAGCUUUGAAGUGGUGGCAUCCCGUCUAAUGAUACGUGGGUCUGCUCGCUGGGAAUAUUUAGCCUCCCUUCAUAAACAUGGUAGUAGAUGGCUGAAACAGCACAUGACUGUGUAAAGAAUGAAGCUGCAGCGAGGCCAAGCCGUCUGGCUAUGUCUAGAGCCCAAGGCAUGAUUGAAUCAUACACAAGGCAACUUAUUGGACGGCCGGACUUGCCUUGCUUUUCAACGAUUUCUGAUAAUUUUCGCUCUAUCAAAGAGCUGAAAUUCUUCCAAUACUCUUCCAUGGUCGAAAUCGUACCAUUUUCUUCGCUGUUAUCGGAAAUGGAAUCAACAAUAACGGAACCGUGUUUGGCUUUUGUCAGCUCAUUGUCGAUGAUGGUGACUAGGGUUACCUUAAGUCCUUUGGAGGUAAGGAGUUUAGAGAAUUGGAGCAUUGGGUUAAUAUGACCUUGUGCGGGAAAAGGGAGUGCUAUGAUGUGAGUUUCAGCAGCUCUUUGGUGGCUCUCCAUUUCUGCAGCUCUUACUUGUUUUGCUUUCUCUCCUCUCUU